GUUCCUGUGGCACAAUGAAUAGCGCAUCGGAAUUCUAUUCGUAAUAUUGUGGGUUGGAAUCCCACCUGGGAUA